rnacentral:rRNA from 1 species
AACGACUCUCGGCAACGGAUCUCCCGGCUCUCGCGCUCGAUGAAGAACGUAGCGAAAUGCGAUACUUGGUGUGAAUUGCAGAAUCCCGUGAACCAUCGAGUCUUUGAACGCAAGUUGCGCCCGAAGCCACUAGGCCGAGGGCACGCCUGCCUGGGGCUCACGC